GUACUCUGCAACCCGAGUACAUGAAGCUGGAAUCGCUAGUAAUCGCGAAUCAGAAUGUCGCGGUGAAUACGUUCCCGGGUCUUGUACACACCGCCCGUCACACCAUGGGAGAUGGAUAUGCCCAAAGUCAGCGACCUAACCGCAAGGGAGGAGCUGCCUAAGGUGGAGCCAUUAACUGGGGUGAAGUCGUAACAAGGUAUC
rnacentral:rRNA from 1 species